UACAGAGACCUCAAGCGUUAUCCGGAUUCAUUGGGCGUAAAGGGUGAGUAGGCGGAUAUAAUAGUCAAAAGUCAAAUCAUUUCGCUCAACGGAAUGACUGCUUUUGAAACGUUAUAUCUGGAAACAGGUAGAGGUAAACGGAACUCAUGGUGUAGCAGUGAAAUGCGUUGAUAUCAUGGGGAACACCAAAGGCGAAGGCAGUUUACUGGACCUUGUUUGACGCUGAAUCACGAAAGCGUGGGUAGCGAACGGG
rnacentral:rRNA from 1 species